GGGGUUGUAGCUCAGUGGCAGAGCGCUUGCCUCACAUGCAUGAGGCCCCAGGUUUGAUCCUCAGCGCCA
rnacentral:tRNA from 1 species